rnacentral:snRNA from 1 species
AUAAAGUAUGGUUUUCAAAGUUG